UCCGUAGGUGAACCUGCGGAAGGAUCAUUACCGAUUUUUAGCGGACCUGAUCUUUGAUCAUGGUCUCGCGAAAACUUGUAUUUAAAACCCCACUCUUAUAAAUUGAAUCAUUUUAUAUGUAUAUAAUAAAUAAAGAUCACUUUCAACAACGGAUCUCUUGGCUCUCGCAUCGAUGAAGAACGUAGCGAAGUGCGAUAAGUAAUGUGAAUUGCAGAAUUCCGUGAAUCAUCGAAUCUUUGAACGCAAGUUGCACUCUCUGGUAACCCGGGGAGUAUGCCUGUUUGAGGGUCAGUGUUUAAUAAAAAUCGGUGCGUUGCAAUUUUUGUGAUGUUCCGGAGUUUGAGUUAUCUUAUCUUCUGGGUUUAAGAGGCUUAAAAUUGACCUUCUUUGUGCAUUUUAGACGUACAUAAAUUUUUUUUUAUUCGUUUAUCUUAAUGCCAAAAUCUAUUAGAUGCGACCAUAUCGUGUGGUUCCGUGUCUAUAAAUUUUUCAUGAUUUGACCUCAAAUCAGGUAGGAACACCCGCUGAACUUAAGCAUAUCAAUAAGCGGAGGA
rnacentral:rRNA from 1 species